CCUACGGGCGGCAGCAGUGAGGAAUAUUGGUCAAUGGACGAGAGUCUGAACCAGCCAAGUAGCGUGAAGGAUGACUGCCCUAUGGGUUGUAAACUUCUUUUGUACAAGGGUAAACCUGAAUACGUGUAUUCAGCUGAAAGUACUGUACGAAUAAGGAUCGGCUAACUCCGUGCCAGCAGCCGCGGUAAUACGGGGGAUCCACGCGUUAUCCGGAUUUAUUGGGUUUAAAGGGUGCGUAGGCGGAUUGAUAAGUUAGAGGUGAAAUGUCCGGGCUUAACUCGGGAACUGCCUCUAAUACUGUUGAUCGAGAGAGUAGAUGCGGUAGGCGGAAUGUAUGGUGUAGCGGUGAAAUGCUUAGAGAUCAUACAGAACACCGAGUGCGAAGGCAGCUUACCAAUCUAUAUCUGACGUUGAGGCACGAAAGCGUGGGGAGCAAACAGGAUUAGAUACCCUUGUAGUC
rnacentral:rRNA from 1 species